rnacentral:rRNA from 1 species
GACGAACGCUGGCGGCGUGCCUAAUACAUGCAAGUUGAGCGCUGAAGGUUGGUACUUGUACCAACUGGAUGAGCAGCGAACGGGUGAGUAACGCGUGGGGAAUCUGCCUUUGAGCGGGGGACAACAUUUGGAAACGAAUGCUAAUACCGCAUAAAAACUUUAAACACAAGUUUUAAGUUUGAAAGAUGCAAUUGCAUCACUCAAAGAUGAUCCCGCGUUGUAUUAGCUAGUUGGUGAGGUAAAGGCUCACCAAGGCGAUGAUACAUAGCCGACCUGAGAGGGUGAUCGGCCACAUUGGGACUGAGACACGGCCCAAACUCCUACGGGAGGCAGCAGUAGGGAAUCUUCGGCUAUGGACGAAAGUCUGACCGAGCAACGCCGCGUGAGUGAAGAAGGUUUUCGGAUCGUAAAACUCUGUUGGUAGAGAAGAACGUUGGUGAGAGUGGAAAGCUCAUCAAGUGACGGUAACUACCCAGAAAGGGACGGCUAACUACGUG